AACGAACGCUGGCGGCAGGCUUCAUACAUGCAAGUCGCGCGAUUAAACCCAGCAAUGGGAUAUAAAGCGGCGAACGGGUGAGUAACAGGUGGAUAAUCUGCCUUUUGGUGGGGGAUAACGGCUGGAAACGGCCGCUAAUACCGCAUGUGGUUGCGGGCGCUAUGGCGUCUGCAAAGAAAGGGGCUUUACGGCCCUGCCAAGAGAUGAGUCCGCCCCCCAUUAGCUAGUUGGUGAGAUAAUAGCCCACCAAGGCUGUGAUGGGUAGCCGAGCUGAGAGGUUGAUCGGCCACACUGGAACUGAGACACGGUCCAGACACCUACGGGUGGCAG
rnacentral:rRNA from 1 species